rnacentral:misc_RNA from 1 species
UACCCCAGUCCAUCCAUGAGCAGAGAAAGUUGAGAAGGGACUAGGGAGAUCAUGCAGUGGUGCUGUGACGAACUGUUAUCAGUCUCAUAAAUUUGAAAUUUUGGUAUGCAUUGUACAGAUUGAUUAUAUAUAUGGGAACCAAAAUAUGAACAUGAAUCAAAUCAAAUGUGUCGUGGUUAAAUAGAAAAUUUUCCUUCCUAUGAAACCAAGAUACUUCUCACCCUUGAAAGAAGAAAUGCAACCUCUACUUGAAAGCAUUAGUUGCAGCAUACAGAAAAUCCAAGAAGCCUGUUCCCUUGAGGAGACCUUUCCCAGUCAAGAGUUCAAAGUCUAAUAACAGCAAGAAUCCAAUUACAGCUGCCUUCCCAUUUAUCAAUUCAUUCUUGCCAGUGAAGCCAAACCCCUCUAGCUCCUCAUCGACUACCAUUCUCACCUCAUCCACAUUGACAUCAGUUGCAGUCACACCAGGUUGAGCCUUCCCACUAAACACUAUUUCUGCAGAUGCAUCAGGUUUUACACCUCCUUUCACACUGAUAUAAAUAUUAUCUUCAUCAGUUUUUACAGGAUAAACAUAGAGUGUCCUCAAAGCAGGUGUGAGAACUCUCAGCACAGGAUUUUUUGGAUACCAAUCUUUAAUAGCUCCAGUCCGAAGAUCAAAUGUGCUAUCCGUUGUUGGGCAAACUAUACAACCAUCCUGGGUAAGCUUGGCAUUGAUGAGUCCUUCAGUAUAAGCCCCCUCAGCAGGUGACCUAUUCUCAAUAGCGAAAACCUCAUCCUUAUACCACAGCAAAAGUAUCGUCUCCCCAUCUUGAAUUAUCACACGCCUUUCUCCCUUUGGCAGUGCCGCCAACGGAACCACAGGAACCCAGUUCUCGCCUCCUCCACCGGCAGUCGGAGACUGCUCACUCACCGAUACUUCCGCCGCCUCACACGCAAUUUUGGGUCGAGGCUUGGGAGUCCAUCGAGAGGCAAGCCAAUAUUUUGUGGGCAAUGCAGAGGCAGCGUGGUAGUUGGAACGGUGCAGCGGGCGGCCGGAAAUGGGAAUACGUGGAGGGUUAAAAGAGUAAUUUUGAGCCAAAGAUGAGGCGAUAUGGGAGGGAGUGGCAGCCAUGGAAGGGAGGGAAGGGAAGAGAGGGAGAGAGAAGAGAGAGGGAGAGAAUGAAGAAGGUGCAUGGCCACACAAAGUGGAUAAUUAGGGGGAAAAACCUGAGGAGAUAUGGUGGUCUUAAGUGUCUAUUUGCUUUGAGCCACAAAUUAUAUUAGUACUUACAUGGCAAAUUAAUAUCGUGGGAAUUGGAAGUCCCGCCUUCAUCAAAGAGAAAAGAAAUUCACCUAUGAUUUGCAACGGAAUUGUGAGAUGCUGAGUUUAAACUCUAUUAUGAGUUAAAUUAAUUAAAAAAAUUAAUAAUAACAUCAAAUAAUAUGUAAUAAGUAAUUAUUGCAUAUUAAUAUAUUUACUAUUAAAUAUUUUUUUUUAUCUGAAUAUGUGAAUUAUUAUUUAAGAAUGAGUAGCAUUACAUCCUAUCCUUAUAGAGGAGCGAAAUUAACUACAUUGGUGGAUUAGAAGGCUACCCCAACACUAGUUUUCUCAUCCUAACAUUUAUAGCAAUCCAAUUAGCACAAGUAUUUGCUGCUCUUAAGACAUGAGUAACUUGGAAGGAAGGAGAUAAAUCCAGAUAACUCUUGACAUCAUGAAUAAUAGCCUCUACCUCCCAAGGAAGGAAAGAUGGAUGAAUAGAUAAAAGAUGCAACAAUUGCAAUGAAUUUGAUUCAACAAGCGCAUACUGAACUACUGCUCUUAAUGCAAAGGCCUCUGUCACAAGAGGGGAUGAGUCUGAUGCACAAAAUUAUACUGCGCAACAGAAGAAAUAUGUGGCAAAGAAUGCUGCUACGGAA